AUUGAACGCUGGCGGCAUGCUUUACGCAUGCAAGUCGAACGGUAACAGGCCUUCGGGUGCUGACGAGUGGCGAACGGGUGAGUAAUGCAUCGGAACGUGCCCAGAGGUGGGGGAUAACGCAGCGAAAGCUGUGCUAAUACCGCAUGUGAUCUGAGGAUGAAAGCGGGGGACCAAGCAGCAAUGUUUGGCCUCGCGCCUCUGGAGCGGCCGAUGUCAGAUUAGGUAGUUGGUGGGGUAAAGGCCUACCAAGCCGACGAUCUGUAGCUGGUCUGAGAGGACGACCACCCACAGUGGAAGUGAGCCACGGCCAGGACUCAACGGGGAGGGAGGGGGGGGGAUUUGGGAACAAGGGGCGCAGCUCGGACACGGCAAUGGCGGGGGGGGAAAAAGGCCUUGGGUGUUAAAACAGGUUUUUGAAGGAAAGAAAAGGUUCCGGCCAAAUCCCGGGGUAUGAGAAGGAAACAAAAAAAAAGGGACCCGGAAAGUUAGGGC
rnacentral:rRNA from 1 species